rnacentral:rRNA from 1 species
CACGCAGGCGGUUUGUUAAGCUAGAUGUGAAAGCCCCGAGCUCAACUUGGGAUGGUCAUUUAGAACUGGCAGACUAGAGUCUUGGAGAGGGGAGUGGAAUUCCAGGUGUAGCGGUGAAAUGCGUAGAUAUCUGGAGGAACAUCAGUGGCGAAGGCGACUCCCUGGCCAAAGACUGACGCUCAUGUGCGAAAGUGUGGUAGCGAACA